CCUACGGGAGGCAGCAGUGAGGAAUAUUGGUCAAUGGGCGAGAGCCUGAACCAGCCAAGUAGCGUGAAGGAUGACUGCCCUACGGGUUGUAAACUUCUGGUAUAAAGGAAUAAAGUGAGGCACGUGUGCCUUUUUGUAUGUGCUUUGUGAAUGAGGAUCGGCUAACUCCGUGACAGCAGCCGCGGUAAUACGGAGGAUCCGAGCGUUAUCCGGAUUUAUUGGGUUUAAAGGGAGCGUCGAUGGGUUGUUAAGUCCGUUGUGAAAGUUUGAGGCUUAACCGUAACAUUGCAAUUGAUACUGGCAGUCUGGAGUACAGUUGACGUAGGCGGAAUUCGUGGUGUAGCGGUGAAAUGCUUAGAUAUCACGAAGAACUCCGAUUGCGAAGGCAGCUUACUAAACUGCACCUGACAUUGAUGCCCGAAAGCGUGGGUAUCGAACAGGAUUAGAUACCCGGGUAGUC
rnacentral:rRNA from 1 species